rnacentral:rRNA from 1 species
AGUGAACACUGGCGGUAGGCCUAACACAUGCAAGUCGAACGGCAGCACAGGAGAGCUUGCUCUCUGGGUGGCGAGUGGCGGACGGGUGAGGAAUACAUCGGAAUCUACUCUGUCGUGGGGGAUAACGUAGGGAAACUUACGCUAAUACCGCAUUCGACCUACGGGUGAAAGCAGGGGAUCUUCGGACCUUGCGCGAUUGAAUGAGCCGAUGACGGAUUAGCUAGUUGGCGGGGUAAAGGCCCACCAAGGCGACGAUCCGUAGCUGGUCUGAGAGCAUGACCAGCCACACUGGAACUGAGACACGGUACAGACUCCUACGGGAGGCAGCAGUGGGGAAUAUUGGACAAUGGGCGCAAGCCUGAUCCAGCCAUACCGCGUGGGUGAAGAAGGCCUUCGGGUUGUAAAGCCCUUAUGUUGGGAAAGAAAUCCAGCUGGCUAAUACCCGGUUGGGAUGACGGUACCCAAAGAAUAAGCACCGGCUAACUUCGUGCCAGCCGCCGCGGUAA